UAUGUAGGAGACAAACGUUAUCCGGAGUUACUGGGCGUAAAGGGCGUGUAGGCGGUCUGUUAAGUCUGGCGUGAAAGCUCUCGGCUAAACCGGGAGAGGUCGUUGGAUACUGGCACGACUGGAGGAUGGUAGAGGCGUGUGGAAUUCCGGGUGUAGUGGUGAAAUGCGUGGAGAUCCGGAGGAACACCAGUGGCGAAGGCGACACGCUGGGCCAUACCUGACGCUAAAGCGCGACAGCAUGGGGAGCAAACGGG
rnacentral:rRNA from 1 species